GCGUGCGGGAGGAAGCCCCUCGGGGUGUAAACCGUUGUCAGGAGGGAAGAAAACGAUCGGACGAAUAAUCCGGUCACUUGACGGUACCUCCAGAGGAAGCGCCGGCUAACUCCGUGCCAGCAGCCGCGGUAAUACGGAGGGCGCAAGCGUCGUCCGGAAUCACUGGGCGUAAAGGGGGCGCAGGCGGCUUGCUAAGUCCUGUGUGAAAUCCCACGGCUCAACCGUGGAAGGCCACAGGAUACUGGCGAGCUCGAGACGGGUAGAGGCGAGUGGAAUUCCCGGUGUAGCGGUGGAAUGCGU
rnacentral:rRNA from 1 species